rnacentral:rRNA from 1 species
UAGUCCACACCCUAAACGAUGCUUACUCGAUGUUUGGGGAGACACAGUCUGUGGCUAAGCGAAAGUUUUAAGUAAUCCACCUGGGGAGUACGAUCGCAAGAUUGAAACUCAAAGGAAUUGACGGGGGCCCGCACAAGCGGAGGAACAUGUGGUUUAAUUCGAUGAUACGCGAGGAACCUUACCUGGACUUAAAUGUACGUUGCAUAGAUUGGAGACAGUCUUUUCUUCGGACUACGUACAAGGUGCUGCAUGGUUGUCGUCAGCUCGUGCCGUGAGGUGUUGGGUUAAGUCCCGCAACGGGCGCAACCCCUAUUGUUAGUUGCCAGCAUUAAGUUGGGGACUCUAGCAAGACUGCCGGCGUAAGCCGCGAGGAAGGUGGGGACGACGUCAAAUCAUCAUGGCCUUUAUGCCUAGGGCGACACACGUGCUACAAUGGUGCAUACAGAGGGUUGCUAAGCCGCGAGGUGGAGCUAAUCCCAGAAAGUGCAUCCCAGUUCGGAUUGGAGU